AUGUUCGUCAAGAAGCUCGUGGAGAAAGCUUCUAUAAUAAAGAAGCCGGGUGGAAAUUCAUCAAAUGGAUUAAAAGCUAGUGAUGUUGAUCCACGUUUGGUAUUUCAUCAUGGUGUGCCAUCAGGUGCUACCAAGUUUACCUGUGACAAUAUUCACAACAUAUUAGCUCUUUCUACCAAUGAUGGGAGGAUUAAAUUAUUUGGUAAGGAUAAUGCUCAAGUCCUACUUGAAUCUAAUAAGCUGGUGCCUAGCAAGUUUUUACAGUUCAUCCAGAAUCAAGGCAUCCUUAUAAAUGUCACCUCAAAUAACCAUAUUGAGGUUUGGGACAUAGACAAGAAACUGUUGUCAGACUUGUACAUUGUUAAAGAAGAAAUCACAUCUUUUGCAGUCAUUCAGCAUAGCCUCUAUAUGUAUAUUGGAGUUUCUACUGGUAAUAUUUCAGUUUUGAAGCUUGAUCAAAAUUUGCAUGUGGUACGGAUGAGUUACACUAUACCCCUCUCUGCUUCUAUUGGGAAUUCAACUGAAAUGUUUGAUGAUACUGUUGUGACACACAUAUUGCCUCAACCAGCAGCUGAAAGUAAGAGAGUUGUCAUAAUCUUUAGAAAUGGCCAAAUAAUAUUAUGGGAUAUUAGAGAAAGCAAAUGCAUUUUCAGAACUGGUGGAAAUGUGUCACAGCAGCCACUGCAUAAUGAAGCAAAGAAAGUGUCUUGUGCAUGUUGGGUGUGUCCUUUUGGAAGCAAAGUGGUUGUAGGGUACAACAAUGGAGAGCUCUUCAUUUGGAGCAUCCCUUCUCUAACCACAGGAAAUAACUCAGCUUCUUAUUAUAGCACCAAAAACAUUCCUAUGUUUAAAUUUAACUUAGGAUAUAAAUCAGAAAAAAUUUGCAUAGGAUCAGUAAAAUGGAUAUAUGCUGAAGGAAAGGCCAGUAGACUAUAUGUCAUGGGAGCUUCUAAGUCAAUGCAGGUAGUGUUGUUGAACGAUCAUACCGAAACUCGCACAAUUAAGCUAGGACUGUAUUUAUCUGAAUGCUGUGUUGACAUGGAGAUCAUAUCAACCACAAAUGAGCAAAGCAAACAUAAACAAAAUUCAUUGAUUUUGCUUGGGAAGUCAGGCCGUGUAUAUCAGUAUGAUGAUAGUUUGAUUGAAAAGUAUCUAUUGCAAGGCCAAUCUAAGUCCACUCCCUCACUGCCAAAAGAAGUUAUGGUGAGGUUGCCACUUACUGAUUCAGGCAUCACCAUAUCAAAAUUCAUCUCCAACACCACUGAUGUGUUUUAUGCUGCAGAUGAGUAUUAUAGUCAAAUGAUCAAAAGUUAUCCACAGCUUAUUCCAAUUGAAACAAAUCACAAAGAUGGGCUUAACCUGAGUUCUGCCAACUUCACUGGAUUUUCAAACAUUAAAAACUUGUACAUAACUGGACACCAUAAUGGAGCCAUAACAUUUUGGGAUGCAUCAUGUCCCUUCUUCAUCCCAGUUUUGCAAUUAAAGCAGCAGAGUGAAAAUGAUCAAUCUUUAAGUGGUGUACCAUUGACAGAAUUAUAUUUUGACAUCAAGUCUCUUCUCCUGGUUUCUGGUGACCAGAGUGGAAUGGUUCGUAUAUUCAGAUUCAAACCCGAACCGUAUGCCUCUAACAGCUUCAUGUCUCUUACAGGAGGUACAAAGAAUGUAAUCCAGAGUGUGAAACUUGUAAAAACUAUUGGUGCUGUAAUUUGUAUGAAUAUAGAUCAUAGCACAAGGCAUCUUGGUGUUGGUUCUGAUCAAGGAAAUGUUUCAGUUAUUAACAUAGAUGGUCCAUCUCUGUUGUAUCAAAAACACAUUGCAAGUGAAAUUUCUGUUGGUAUCAUCUAUCUGCAGUUCAUAACCUGCAGUGUAUACGGUUUCGCAAAAAACAUCUUAGUAGUCGGAACAAAGGACUCGUCUGUUCUGGUAUUGGAUAGUGAAACCGGAAACACACUGACCACUGGAACUGGAGCUGUUCGUCCUAAGAAUCCAUCUAAAGCUCUAUUUAUGCAGAUUUUGGAUGGACAGUGUGAACCAAUUACAAGAUCAGUUAGAAAAGAUAGCUUGGAUUUGAGAGAAGGGAAUCAUGUUGACAGUGUAACAACAAAGAAUUUGUACAUUUUGUUGUGUUCUGAAAAGGCUUUAUAUAUCUAUUCAUUUGAGUAUGCUCUACUGGGAAUCAAAAAGGUGCUUUACAAAAAGAAGUUCUUUCCUUCUUCCUGUUGCUGGGCAUCAACAUUUUACAGCGCCUCUGAUAUUGGUCUCGUACUACUUUUCACCACUGGAAAAGUAGAAUUAAGGUCUUUGCCAGAAUUGUCUUUGAUAGUGAAGACUUCAAUUAGAGGUUUCACUUAUUCACCUCCGAAAUUAAAGUCGUUUUCUGACAGCCAGAUAUGUUGUUCAUCCAGAGGAGACCUUGUUUUGGUGAAUGGUGACCAGGAAAUUUUUGUUUUCUCAUUGUUGGCCCAGAGGAACAUUUUCAGGCUCUUGGACUCUGUUGGCCGCAUUUACAGGAAGGAAAGGAUGCUAUCACAAGCAGAGCUUGUUCCUAACCCGGUCAUAUAUAAGGAAAAGAAGAGCAUAUUCAACUCCGUCAUCAAAGAUUUUACUGGCGGUAAAGAAAAGCAUAUACCCCUUAUGGAAAAAGAAGAUCCUAAAGAAAGUAUCGAGGAACUCUCUGCAAUAUUUUCACGAGCAAAUUUUUCAAUGGAUGCCAACAAUACAGUAGAUGAAAAACAGCCAGAAUUAACCUUAGAUGACAUCGAUCUGGAAGAUCAUAAAGAAAUACGCAAAGAACAAAGCAUAUUAGGAGCUCUUAAUAAGAAGAAAUUGGCUGGCAAAUUUCAGGCUCUAAAAGGAAAAGUGAGAGAGAUGAAGGGCAACAACCAGAAAGCAUCAGAUAAGGAAGAGCAGCAAGAUGAGAAAGCUGGUGCGGUCAAUCAAAUUAAGAAGAGAUAUGGAUUCUCUUCGUCGUCGAACGAAACAAGGGUUGCUAAAUUGGCAGAAAGCAAGCUGCGGGAAAAUACAAGGAAGUUGCAGGUACCUUAUAUGUCGACGAAGUCACAAAAAUGUUGCGGGUGUUGAGCUACGUACCGCAGAGAUGGAAAAUACAGCAAAAUCAUUUUUAUCAAUGGCAAAACAAGUGCUUCAAAAUGCUGAACAGGACAAACGAAGUUGAUAAGACCUGAGUAGAGAAGCUUGAUCGUUGCAAUUAACGCUCCCUGAA